rnacentral:rRNA from 1 species
GCAGUCGAACGAUGAUGCCCAGCUUGCUGGGUGGAUUAGUGGCGAACGGGUGAGUAACACGUGAGUAACCUGCCCCUGACUCUGGGAUAAGCGUUGGAAACGACGUCUAAUACUGGAUAUGACUGCCGGCCGCAUGGUCUGGUGGUGGAAAGAUUUUUUGGUUGGGGAUGGACUCGCGGCCUAUCAGCUUGUUGGUGAGGUAAUGGCUCACCAAGGCGACGACGGGUAGCCGGCCUGAGAGGGUGACCGGCCACACUGGGACUGAGACACGGCCCAGACUCCUACGGGAGGCAGCAGUGGGGAAUAUUGCACAAUGGGCGAAAGCCUGAUGCAGCAACGCCGCGUGAGGGAUGACGGCCUUCGGGUUGUAAACCUCUUUUAGUAGGGAAGAAGCGUAAGUGACGGUACCUGCAGAAAAAGCACCGGCUAACUACGUGCCAGCAGCCGCGGUAAUACGUAGGGUGCAAGCGUUGUCCGGAAUUAUUGGGCGUAAAGAGCUCGUAGGCGGUUUGUCGCGUCUGCUGUGAAAUCCCGAGGCUCAACCUCGGGCUUGCAGUGGGUACGGGCAGACUAGAGUGCGGUAGGGGAGAUUGGAAUUCCUGGUGUAGCGGUGGAAUGCGCAGAUAUCAGGAGGAACACCGAUGGCGAAGGCAGAUCUCUGGGCCGUAACUGACGCUGAGGAGCGAAAGCGUGGGGAGCGAACAGGAUUAGAUACCCUGGUAGUCCACGCCGUAAACGUUGGGCGCUAGAUGUAGGGACCUUUCCACGGUUUCUGUGUCGUAGCUAACGCAUUAAGCGCCCCGCCUGGGGAGUACGGCCGCAAGGCUAAAACUCAAAGGAAUUGACGGGGGCCCGCACAAGCGGCGGAGCAUGCGGAUUAAUUCGAUGCAACGCGAAGAACCUUACCAAGGCUUGACAUACACCGGAAACGGCCAGAGAUGGUUGCCCCCUUGUGGUCGGUGUACAGGUGGUGCAUGGUUGUCGUCAGCUCGUGUCGUGAGAUGUUGGGUUAAGUCCCGCAACGAGCGCAACCCUCGUUCUAUGUUGCCAGCGCGUUAUGGCGGGGACUCAUAGGAGACUGCCGGGGUCAACUCGGAGGAAGGUGGGGAUGACGUCAAAUCAUCAUGCCCCUUAUGUCUUGGGCUUCACGCAUGCUACAAUGGCCGGUACAAAGGGCUGCGAUACCGUAAGGUGGAGCGAAUCCCAAAAAGCCGGUCUCAGUUCGGAUUGAGGUCUGCAACUCGACCUCAUGAAGUCGGAGUCGCUAGUAAUCGCAGAUCAGCAACGCUGCGGUGAAUACGUUCCCGGGCCUUGUACACACCGCCCGUCAAGUCAUGAAAGUCGGUAACACCCGAAGCCGGUGGCCUAAC